rnacentral:rRNA from 1 species
UACAGAGGGUGCGAGCGUUGUCCGGAAUCACUGGGCGUAAAGGGCGCGUAGGUGGCGGGCCAAGUCGGUGGUGAAAGCUCGAUGCUUAACAUCGAGUCGGCCAUCGAAACUGGUUUGCUCGAGCACUGUAGGGGCAGAUGGAAUUCCGGGUGUAGCGGUGGAAUGCGUAGAGAUCCGGAAGAACACCGGUGGCGAAGGCGGUCUGCUGGGCAGUUGCUGACACUGAGGCGCGACAGCGUGGGGAGCAAACAGG